GCAAGUCGAGCGGUAACAGAGAGUGCUUGCACUCUGCUGACGAGCGGCGGAAGGGUGAGUAACGCGUAGGAAUCUACCAAGUAGUGGGGGAUAAGCCAGAGAAAUUUGGUCUAAUACCGCAUACGUUCUUCGGAAGAAAGGAGGGGAUCUUCGGACCUUUCGCUAUGUGAGGAGCCUGCGUGAGAUUAGCUUGUUGGUGAGGUAAGAGCUCACCAAGGCGACGAUCUCUAGCUGGUCUGAGAGGAUGAGC
rnacentral:rRNA from 1 species